GCCUUCGUAGUGCAACAGUAGCACACUUGGCUUGUAUUCGAGAGGUUCAGGCUCGAGUCUCGGAGAGGGCA
rnacentral:tRNA from 1 species